UACGAAGGGUGCAAGCGUUGCUCGGAAUUAUUGGGCGUAAAGAGCUCGUAGGCGGUCUGUCGCGUCGGAUGUGAAAAUCCAGGGCUCAACCCUGGACCUGCAUUCGAUACGGGCAGACUAGAGUUCGGUAGGGGAGACUGGAAUUCCUGGUGUAGCGGUGAAAUGCGCAGAUAUCAGGAGGAACACCAAUGGCGAAGGCAGCACUCUGGGACGUGACUGACGCUGAGACGCGAAAGCGUGGGGAGCAAACAGG
rnacentral:rRNA from 1 species